CCAUUUGGUCGCAUGCAGUUGUAACCGUAUUGUAGUUAUAACUAUAUGCAAAUACAAAUUCGGUAUUUGGUUUGAUAUAUAUAUAUAACUCCAACUGCUGCAGAAGAAACUACAGGAGGAGAUUCAACUGCAAUAAUUGGAUUUACGCUCAAAUUGGCUGCAGUUGCAACUGUUAGAGAGAGUAACUUUAAACAAAAGCUAAACUUACCUCCCUAAUUACUUGUUAAACAAAAAAUAUUUUUUUUCUUAUAUUGAGGGCGCGUUUGGUUCAAGUUAUAUAAUAUUACGGAAUAUUUCGAUAUAUCUAGAUAUCUUGGAUUUCUAAAAAGAUUACAAUUUAUGCUGCAUUAGCACUUUUCAUUUAAUACAGUAAUGUAAUGCUGGAUUGCAGUACUUAUAGCAUUAAUAUAUUUGAUUCUGUCUAUAAAAUUCAGUAAUCGAGAAAAUAACAUAUUGUCUCUUCCAAAAUGGCUCGUAGUCAUAUUUCAUAAUUUUUUUUUACUGUUUACAAACAAUAAUUUUUUUACCAAAUUUUAUUUUAAAUAAUUUAAUCUUUUAAAUUUUAAAUUUUAAAUUUUAACAAAAAUAUAAAUUUAAUAUUUUAAUUUAAAAUAAAAAAUAUGAAAUUUCUAAAUUUAAAAUCUAAAAUUUAAAUAUAAAUAUAUAUAAAAUAAAAAAUUAAAAUCUAAAUUAAAAAAUCAGAAUUUAAAAUACAAAUUUGUAUUUUAAAAUUU
rnacentral:lncRNA from 1 species